UUCUUCGGGGUUGGGUGUAAUUCCCUACUGGCGGUACAGUCCGCGACCCGGGACAGAAGAAAGGUAACUGCAAUAACAGUGCCUUGCGUUCAACUGUCACGGCUGACUCGGUGAAAGUCCGGGACCAACAGUAAAGUCUGGAUGAAAGAAGAG
rnacentral:ncRNA from 1 species